UACGUAGGGGGCAAGCGUUAUCCGGAUUUACUGGGUGUAAAGGGAGCGCAGACGGCAGUGCAAGUCUGGAGUGAAAGCCCGGGGCCCAACCCCGGGACUGCUCUGGAAACUGUGCGGCUAGAGUACUGGAGGGGCAGGCGGAAUUCCUAGUGUAGCGGUGAAAUGCGUAGAUAUUAGGAGGAACACCAGUGGCGAAGGCGGCCUGCUGGACAGUAACUGACGUUGAGGCUCGAAAGCGUGGGGAGCAAACAGG
rnacentral:rRNA from 1 species